CAAGCCUGAUGCAGCCAUGCCGCGUGUGUGAAGAAGGACCUUCGGGUUGUUAAAGCACUUUCAGUCGUGAGGAAGGUGGUAGUGUUAAUAGCACUAUCAUUUGACGUUAGCGACAGAAGAAGCACCGGCUAACUCCGUGCCAGCAGCCGCGGUAAUACGGAGGGGUGCGAGCGUUAAUCGGAAUUACUGGGCGUAAAGCGCAUGCAGGUGGUUUUGUUUAAGUCAGAUGUGAAAGACCCGGGGCUCAACCUCGGAAUAGCAUUUGUAAACUGGCAGACUAGAGUACUGUAGAGGGGGGGUAGGAAUUUCAGGUGUAGCGGUGAAAUGCGUAGAGAUCUGAAGGAAUACCGGUGGCGAAGGCGGCCCCCCUGGACAGAUACUGACACUCAGAUGCGAAAGCGUGGGGAGCAAACAGGAUUAGAUACCCUGGUAG
rnacentral:rRNA from 1 species